AGUAAUCCUGAUUGGAAUUUUUAUUCAUGUAAAUUACUGUCUGACAUCUAACAGCAGCUGUGAAGAUCACAUCUUAAAAUGCAAGAAUGAGGCAGAGAGAAUGAAUUAGAAGUACAUCCCAAGGCCUGCCCCCAGAACCCAAAUUCCUUCAGCAAUGUUGUAACACCGGAACCUUACCAAUCAGCACCAUCAAACAACUGUUUAAACUCCAGAGACUAAGGGAAUAUUUCUUAGUCAAAUCACUACAAAAGGAAAUAUUCAGGAGGAAAACUAAAAACAGUUCUCUGAAAA